rnacentral:rRNA from 1 species
UGCGAGUCACUCCGCAAGGGGUGGCGCACGGCUCAGUAACACGUAGUCAACCUACCCUAGGGACGGGGAUAACCUCGGGAAACUGAGGCUAAACCCCGAUAGGCUAUAGCCUCUGGAAUGAGCUAUAGCUGAAAUCUAUAUGGCCCUAGGAUGGGACUGCGGCCGAUCAGGUAGUUGGUGGGGUAAUGGCCCACCAAGCCUAUAACCGGUGCGGGCUCUGAGAGGAGGAGCCCGGAGAUGGGCACUGAGACAAGGGCCCAGGUCCUAUGGGGCGCAGCAGGCGCGAAACCUCCGCAAUGGGCGAAAGCCCGACGGGGUUAGUCCGAGUGGUCCCUGCUGAAGGGGCCUUUUGCCAGCUGUAAAAAGGCUGGCGAAUAAGGGGUGGGCAAGUUUGGUGUCAGCCGCCGCGGUAAUACCAGCACCCCGAGUGGUCGGGACGAUUAUUGGGUCUAAAGCAUCCGUAGCCGGCUUAGCAAGUCCUCCGUUAAAUCCAACGGCUUAACCGUUGGGCUGCGGAGGAUACUGCUAAGCUAGGGGGCGGGAGAGGCGAGGGGUAUUCCCAGGGUAGGGGUAAAAUCCGUUGAUCCUGGGAGGACCACCAGUGGCGAAGGCGCCUCGCUAGAACGCGCCCGACGGUGAGGGAUGAAAGCUG